AUCGAAACACAUUUAUAUACACUGACAUGGAAAGAGCUAUCACAUAUAUUGUGUUAAUAAAGCAAGUUUUAGAACCAUGAGUAUUAUCUCGUGGAUGCCUUCAAAAUUUCACAAGACGACCUCCCAUAUUUCUAGAGUAACAAAUAUCUACAAAACGCAUUUCUUUAAAACCAGCAGAAGGAUACCAGUAGAGACCACACUUGGCAGGAGACAGAUGAGGAGGCAGGUCAGACGGGACUUCAGCUUUAUUGGUAACAUUUGGAUUUUUAUGCACUUUUCAUUACACGGAACGAUCUUUGAAGCUGGCCCUCCCCUCAAAGCCUGCAAAGGUGGGCUCCCCCUUGCUGGUGCGCAGAGAGGUGGGAAAGCCCAGGGGAGGGGAGGAGGUGGGAGAGGCCUGACCCCACUGACCCCCUGUUCCGACCACCCCUUCCUGGAGCCGCAGACAGGCCCUGGGGCCAGCAUCAGUCACACCUGCAGAGGUGAGUCAUCCGUUUAAGAUGGGAGGGGUUGGGUGGAAGUAGGAUGGGCCUGGAGGGCGGGUGAGAUGGGAGAUGCAAGAGCCCCAGCCCUUCAAAUUCCUGCCCCCGGAGCAGGGCUUUGGCCCCACUGUCAGAUGGACUGAUGGACAGGCAGAUGGAAGGAUGGACCACGAGGUGCAGAAAGGGAUGCCAUCAGGACCCAGGACAUGUCUGCCACACACAUGAACAUACCACACGCACAGCCGCGUGGACACAGCAACAGGCACACAUGCAUGCAUCAUACAUAGUCACCAAAACACACGACACACGCUUGCACAAACACAGCACAUAGACAGAUGCCCCCACCCCCACUGUACAAACGCCCAUCAGACACAGACACACACACCACAUGAACCCCUCCAUCCACAUGUGAAACAGAAGUUUGGCCAAAGAGAGUGUGCUAAUCAUUUGUACUCUAUGCUGUUCUCUUUCGUUUUAAAAAAUAUGGGCCACAGCCCUGCAGGUUGACUUCUCUCCCCUUUGUGGACCACGAACACCCUUCUCAUCCAAUCUGGAGAAGGACCCCAGGUGCACAGGCAGACCAUGAUGGAGGGGCCAGGCGGGCAGGGCCAGGGGUCUUUGAAGAGGAAGGGGGGAAGGAGGAGGUGACACACCCCUCUGCUGCUGGGGGAGAGCCAGCCAGCAGACAGGAAGGGGUGCUGAGGACAGCUGUCGGGCUGUCAGGAGGGUCCCGGAGAAGCGCCCGGGCUGCCAGGCUCAGGGAGGCGGUGGUGGAGAGGGCCAGGAGUGGGUAGAUGUUCGAGGUGUGUGAGAGGGGCACAUGGGUAAAGCUGCCCGGUCGGGGAGGAGGGCACCCGCUUGGCCAGGCCAGGGACUUGGACUCUGGGCUGGAGAAGCUAAAGUCAGUGGUUCAGGGGAUGCGUCCAGCGCCAUGCGCUAGUGGGUGGGUUGUGGGGGAGAGGGAAGUGUAGAGAGGUGAGGCAGGCGGGAGUCUACACUGCAGACACUGCUCAGGGGUCCAGGCAGGAGAUGAACUCGGUCAGGAAGGGUCAGGGAGGGAGAAUCCAGAAGGCUUAGCAAAAAGUUCCUGAGCCCAGGGCCAUGGGUCCGGGGGGGCCGAGGUCCAGGGAAACGCGCUUGACUGGAAGACUGGGUGUGAGGGGCUGUCCUGGAGAGGCCUGUUGGCGGGUCUGAGGACAGGACCCCUUGCACAGCGGCCCGGAGGAAAGAGCCCGAGGCCUGCGGUCAGGUGGGCGUUCAGAGCACCGGCCUGAGGAAAUGGACCCAGAGCGGCCAUAACUCCGGGAGCCGCGGGGAGCUGGGAAGGGGCAGCGGGGCCUCCGAAGGGAGCGGGGCCUCCUGGGCCAGGUUCUGGGGGCAGGGGCGCGCCCGGGUGGGGCGGGCUGGGCUUCUCACCGUCCCUCGCGUCUCUUAAAGUGGGGGCAGGACCCCACGGGGGUUGGCGGGGGACGCGCGUGGGAGUGGGCGGGCCGGGGGAGCGCUACCGUCUGGGCCCCGAGCCCGCGGGGGCGGCGAGGUGUAUACGCCGUCAGGGCGCGGCCUCUGCGCCCACGAGGCUGGGCAGAAGCACCCAGCUUCCUCCUCCGCCAUCCGCCGUCCCCUGGAGAUAAACGUCUUUGUUCAAAUCGCCCGCCUUCCCGCUGCCCCCACUGGACUCGGGGCCUGAGAGCGAAUCCCCCUAGGGGCCGCGGAGGACACCUUCCCGAAUAAAUGCGGGCUAACACGUUGAGUGUCCUCGGCC
rnacentral:lncRNA from 1 species